rnacentral:rRNA from 1 species
CAGUAGCCGCGGGAAUACGUAGGGUGCAAGCGUUAAUCGGAAUUACUGGGCGUAAAGCGUGCGCAGGCGGUUAUAUAAGACAGAUGUGAAAUCCCCGGGCUCAACCUGGGAACUGCAUUUGUGACUGUAUAGCUAGAGUACGGCAGAGGGGGAUGGAAUUCCGCGUGUAGCAGUGAAAUGCGUAGAUAUGCGGAGGAACACCGAUGGCGAAGGCAAUCCCCUGGGCCUGUACUGACGCUCAUGCACGAAAGCGUGGGGAGCAAACAGGAUUAGAUACCCCGGUAGUCCCUGUCUCUUAUUC